rnacentral:rRNA from 1 species
GAAACUAAAAGAAUUUGGCGGCAAUUUAAUUUUUCAGAGGAACUUGUUCCGUUAUCGAUAUUCCUCGAUUUGUUUACUUACUUUUAUUUAGCUUAUAUAUCGUUGUUAUAAGAAUAUAUUUGUAGAUUUAUUUUCUUUAUUUUUGGAAAAUUAUAUUUCAGAUCAAGGUUUAGUUUAUAUGUAAGUGAGAAUGAGUUACAUUAAAAGAAUUUAUAUGAAUGUUAAUUUUUGUAUUUAAUUGAAGGUGGAUUUGAGAGUAAUUUUAUUUAAUUAGGUAUUUUGAAGUUAAGUCUAGCUUGUGU